rnacentral:tRNA from 1 species
CAGGGAAUAGUUUAAAAAAAAUUUCA